AUGCAUAAUGCUCAUUUGGAUGCACAUGUAUUCUCUAGAAAUGCUGACCGAGUGCGGGGAUCAAUUUAUGAUGUGAAACAGCUUGAGUCAAAUGAGUUUGCCUUUGUCGUCAUACUCUACUUGUUUCCAUUCAGGCACAUUCACCCAGCAAGCAGCAUCCCCACAAUAGAGAAGCCGGUGUCUCCUCAGCCACUAGAAGAAGCUUGUGAGGCUAGUGAGGAGCAGCCAGAAAGCAGUAGUGGGCCUGUGAGUCCUCACCCAGAAGAGCCUGAGCCAUUGGAGAGUGAGGAGAAGCCUGCUGAUGUAGACACACCUUUAGAAGUAUCUGAUGUGGAUCCAAAGGUCCCUGCAGGGCAGGAGCAGAUGGAAGUGGAAACCCCGUUUGAGCCUGAAAAAGCCCCCUCUCCCCCACCCCCUCCUCCGGUUCCACCAGGUGAGUUAUUAGGCUGUGAUGAACCCAGAAUCCAUGGCUGAAUUAAACCCAAGUCCAGGUCUCAAUCAGAAUCAUGCAAAUGUGUGUGUGUUUUUAUACAGAAGUUACCUGUUGAAUUUCAACAUAAUGGCAUAGGGUAUGGACUUUGGUGGGAUUCGUGUGUCUGAAAUAACCCCCCCCCCCCCCAACAGACCAAAGCUGCCCCCUUCCCAAAUGAAGAAUGCAUUUGAAAGGUACUCAUUGGAGGCCAAUAGGCCAUAGUGGAGAAAUCUUUGGAUGCCAAGUCAAAUGGCAUCAGGAUGUAUAAUCAUAAUUCUGCAGUAUCACAGGCUUUCAAUCUGCAGUGCUGGCUAGCAUUCUGUCAAGGACACAGCUGUGCUCUUCUUCCCCAUAUGGGAGUAGGUGAGUGGAGCCAUCCCCACAAAGAUGACACUUAAAGAGCUUGUUGAGACUGGACCUUGAUAACAAGUUGCCACUUUGGGUCUGAGUCUACUAUCCAAGUGCCAGCUGAAUGGCUUUGUGUAUCCUUGGUGUUGUGUGUGUGCGCGAGAGGGUGGGGGAGCCUAAGUACUGACUUUAAGAUCCUUUGUGCAGCCACUACUUGGUCAUGGAUAACAUUGCCUACACUGCAUUUGCCUCUCUGUAGGGAAGAUGUGGCAUGGGCCAUCCCCUGAUUCCUGCUCUUGUGAUUCUGCAGGCUUUUCUCAGGAUGGUUUGGGAUUGCUGGAGAUUUCAGUUUCCUUAUGCUUGCAAACAAGGUGGCUUCUCUGUCCCUAGUAUCUGUUAUUUUCAGAGAACCUGUCUGUCCCCAGAUACUUUGUUUCAUGCAAUCCAAAUUGUUAAAAACCUUAGUGUUCCUUGGUGGACAUUGAGGACCAUGAAGGUUGGGUGUAAGCAGAACUGUUUGGGGAAUUCUCUCUCUAGAAAGACUGACACUUACCACAAUUUUUAACCUAAGUUAAGAUUGCCUCGUAUACCUGGAACUUUUUGGUCUAUGUGUGAUUUGUUUCUAAGGUGGUGUUUAUGUCAUUUUUAAAAAUCAGCUACUAAUUCUGACCUCCCUUUGUCUCUAUUCAAAGACGCACCAUCCAUUAUCCUUUUGCAGGAGUGUUCCAUCUUAUCAGAAUGUCUUACUCUUCCCUCCCUCU
rnacentral:lncRNA from 1 species